GCGGCGUGCUUACACAUGCAAGUCGAGCGGAAGGCCCUUCGGGGUACUCGAGCGGCGAACGGGUGAGUAACACGUGAGCAACCUGCCCUAGGCUUUGGGAUAACCCCGGGAAACCGGGGCUAAUACCGAAUAGGACCUCCGCCCGCAUGGGUGGGGGUGGAAAGUUUUUCGGCCUGGGAUGGGCUCGCGGCCUAUCAGCUUGUUGGUGGGGUGAUGGCCUACCAAGGCGACGACGGGUAGCCGGCCUGAGAGGGCGACCGGCCACACUGGGACUGAGACACGGCCCAGACUCCUACGGGAGGCAGCAGUGGGGAAUAUUGCACAAUGGGCGGAAGCCUGAUGCAGCGACGCCGCGUGAGGGAUGACGGCCUUCGGGUUGUAAACCUCUUUCAGCAGGGACGAAGCGUAAGUGACGGUACCUGCAGAAGAAGCGCCGGCCAACUACGUGCCAGCAGCCGCGGUAAGACGUAGGGCGCGAGCGUUGUCCGGAUUUAUUGGGCGUAAAGAGCUCGUAGGCGGCUUGUCGCGUCGACUGUGAAAACCCGCAGCUCAACUGCGGGCCUGCAGUCGAUACGGGCAGGCUAGAGUUCGGUAGGGGAGACUGGAAUUCCUGGUGUAGCGGUGAAAUGCGCAGAUAUCAGGAGGAACACCGGUGGCGAA
rnacentral:rRNA from 1 species